rnacentral:rRNA from 1 species
AGCAGCCGCGGUAAUUCCAGCUCCAAUAGCGUAUAUUAAAGUUGUUGCAGUUAAAAAGCUCGUAGUUGAAUUUCGGGGUUAGUAGGUUGGUCAUGCCUCUGGUAUGUACUGGUCUCACUGAUUCCUCCUUCCUGAUGAACCGUAAUGCCAUUAAUUUGGUGUUGCGGGGAAUUUGGACUGUUACUUUGAAAAAAUUGAGUGUUUAAAGCAAGCUAACGCUUGAAUACAUUAGCAUGGAAUAAUGAAAUAGGACGUUCGAUCCUAUUUUGUUGGUUUCUAGGAUUGACGUAAUGAUUAAUAGGGAUAGUUGGGGGCAUUAGUAUUCAAUUGUCAGAGGUGAAAUUCUUGGAUUUAUUGAAGACUAACUACUGCGAAAGCAUUUGCCAAGGAUGUUUCAUUAAUCAAGAACGAAGUUAGGGAUCGAAGACGAUCAGAUACCGUGUAGUACUUAACCAAUAACUAUGACCGUACGUAGGGAGUACGGAUAGUAUUAGUUUUAAAUUUUUAUACGUACUUCUAG